UAGGGAAUUUUGCGCAAUGGGGGAAACCCUGACGCAGCGACGCCACGUGAGUGAUGAAGGCUCUAGGGUUGUAAAGCUCUGUCCUUGGUGAACAAAAAAAUGAGGGUAACCAAGAAGAAAGAACCGGCUAACUUCGUGCCAGCAGCCGCGGUAAGACGAGGGGUUCAAGCGUUGUCCGGAAUUAUUGGGCGUAAAGCGGAUGUAGGUGGCCUUAUAAGUCAGAAGUGAAAGCCUCAGGCUUAACCUGAGAAGUGCUUUUGAUACUGUAGGGCUUGAGUAUGGAAGAGGGCAAUGGAAUUCCUGGUGUAGUGGUGAAAUACGUAGAUAUCAGGAGGAACACCGGAGGCGAAGGCGGUUGCCUGGUCCAUUACUGACAUUAAAAUCCGAAAGCGUGGGGAGCAAACAGG
rnacentral:rRNA from 1 species